ACCCAUGUUAUUGCAGCCUUAUUCACAAUAGGCGAAAUAUGGUUAGAUACCUAACUAGAGAGUGUAAUGUUUAAUUUCUCAUAGAGUCAUUUUCCUUCAAAAUACCUAAGUGAGAAAAAAUCAUUAGAGCGUAAUGAGUAGGAGCAUGGAGUUUAGAGUAAAGGUCUAGGUACAGAUGUGCUUCAGUUACCUACUUGUUUUUUGACUUUUCAGGUCACUUGCCCAUCCAAGCCAAGCAUCCUGAGUUGCCAAAUGGGAACACUAUCACUCACAUCAGAAGACUGUAAAUGGGCCCUGAUGAGUUUGAGACAUCAAUGUAUCCAGAAGAAAAGAAGGAGCCUCGAAUCUAAAGGGCAUCCUGGAGCCCCUAUAUUAGCCCCAUGGCUUCCUGUAAUGUCGGACAAGUAAAUAUGCUUCUGUUCAAGCCACUGUAGUAGGAUCUUCUAUUACUUGCACACAAAUUCUGAACUAACACGCUGUUUUUAAACAUGAUUUAGUGUCACUCUGUGAUAUUUUAGAAUAGUAUAUGUGCCCCACUUGAAUAAAGAGGGAAUUCACAUAUUCAUAUUUUUAUUCACAUGCUUAGUAUAUGCCUCUUUAAGCAAUCAAAAGAAAAAUACCCAAAUGUACACUUGAAAAAAAUCAAAACUGUUGAAACAGGCUUAACUAAGAAUGGCUACUUUGAUACACAGCUGUAAGUUCAAAAAGGCUAUCCUGUAAGUAUGCACAUAGGUUAUUUAUACACAUGUCUGUAAAUAAGGGUCUAUAUAUUUAUUUCCACAGAACCAUUAGGUCCUACCUCUUGGUGAAGACACCAAUAUUUCAUUAACAUGUAUUACCCUCCGCAACGAAAGAAAGAAAGAAAGAAAGAAAGAAAGAAAAUGAAAGACUAUUUCCAGGAUUGACAACACUGGGCAUCCUAUAUUCAGACAACAUAGGCCAUGUUGACCAACAUUUUCUAAGGCGUAGUGUUUAAUAAAAAAAAAAUAUUUUAUUAUGAAAGAUUCCAAGCAUACACAGAAGUAAACAGUAUAAUGAAAUAAGUUCCCAUGUAUCCAUCACCCAUUUUUAGCAAUAAUCAUUUCAUGAUCAGUUAUGUUUCAUUUCUACCCAGUCUACUUCCAUUCCCCGACCCACCCAGGUCAUUAUGAAGCAGCUCCAUACAUCCCAUUGUUCUUAACCGUAAGCAUCUCAGUAUGCAUAUCUAAAACAUAAGGCUUUUUUUUUAAGUUUCUUAUCAGAAAAACUUUUAUUAUCAAGGGAUGGAAGUUUCUGUCAUUGUUUUUUGUUGCUAUUACCCAGCUGUUAGAUCCUAAAUCUUUGUCAUAAGGUUCUGGUUACCACUGAGGAUCUUUAAGCUCCAAAUAUUAUGCUGCUAUAGUGGCUUACGUCUAACUAUUGCAACCAUAAUUUAUGAACUAGAAAGAGGGACAAUUUUCCUGAAGAAAAAAUGUUUUUAUGAGUGGAAGUCUGGGAGAUCUAGUUUAGAUUCUAAAAGUAGCUAAAAUUUCUGUGAUACUUCUAUUAUUUAUGUAUCAAAACAAAAGCAUGAUUAAAAUCUGAAUCACCUCAGAAAAUCUACAGUGAUACGUCCUAAAACAGUAACAGAGAAUGGCAAAAUUUGCUGACAGAAAUACAGGUGCUCGAGUUCAAGAACACAGCAGUCAUUAAAUCUGUUUUUGAAGAUGUCAUUCCUUAAAAGAUAGUAUGUGAUUUGAUGAGAGUUUAGAGUUUCUUUAUAUGAUGUUUUUCUAAUUAAAAGAUGCAAAUUUGUGGUAAUAAAAAAUUACAUGCCGGGGCACUUGGGUGGCUCAGUCAGUUAAGCAUUAGGUUAUGAUGUGGUUUCUGGGUUCGCGUCCCACAUCAGGCUCUAUGCUGAAAGCUCCGAGCCUGGAGCCUGCUUCAGAUUCUGUGUCCCCCGCUCUCUCUGUCCCUCCCCUGCUUUCUCUCUCUCUCUCUCUCU